AAAAUUAAAGGGCUGCAGUAUAUUGACUGUACAAAGGUAGCAUAAUCAUUAGUCUUUUAAUUGAAGACUUGUAUGAAAGAUUUGAUGAAAUAUAAACUGUCUCUAAUUUAAUAAUAAAAAUUAAUUUUUUAGUUAAAAAGCUAAAAUUUAUUUAAAAGACGAGAAGACCCUAUAGAGUUUUAUAAUAAUAGUAAUUAAAAUUAAAUAUAUAAUUAUAAAUUAAAAUUUUUAUUAUUAUUUUGUUGGGGUGACAGAAAAAUUAAUAAAACUUUUUUUAUAAUAUUACAUAAAUAAGUGAAUUAAUGAUCCAUUUAUAAUGAUUAAAAGAAAAAAUUACCUUAGGGAUAACAGCGUAAUUUUUUUUUUUAGUACAAAUAAAAAAAAAAGGUUGCGACCUCGAUGUUGGAUUAAGAUAAAAAUUAAAUGCAAAAGUUUAAAAUUUU
rnacentral:rRNA from 1 species